CAUAUGCUCAUGCCUUGAGUUCUCCAUGCCCAUGUACUCCAGUGUUUCUUGUGCCUUUGUGGAUUUACUUUCUGUUGGACAUCUUGGAUUAUACAACCGUUGUGUUUUUGGACUGCUCACAUCUCCAAUGUAUCUACUGAAGGCUGUAUGAGCGAAGGAGAGGAGGAGGGAUGCCAUGAUCCCGUGGAUAGCUUCAACAUGUGCUGUAAAAAAACACGUGCAGCUCAGCUUAAGUUAGACCAAAAAGAUGGUCAUGGAUUCCCAACACAGCAAGACACCACUGACACCACUGAUGAUGCAAGAGCUGCCAGUACUGUACCUCGGGUGGGUACCAGAGAUAUUGUACAAAGGUUUGCUUAGGAUGCAGCAUGAGAGCAAGGUAGACAGGUAGGCUGCUCUGUUACCAUGCUGAGCCUCCAGAGGGGAGGAUGAGAACGAAAGUAAAUUCCAUCUUAGAAAACACCACUCGCCCACUAUGCUAUCCUGAUGCAUCUAGGGAUCAUCAUCAGACUUUGCUUUAUUCCCCUUAAGGUGCAACAAGGUGCUUUAAGUAUCCUUUUGUGCCAUCACAGUGAACACUUCCAGACGUCUUGGACAGAUCAGUGAGAAGCUGCAGAGCAUCUGCAGUAUAUGUAUGAACAAGCAUGGAUGAGUUAUACCGUUAAGCAAUUUCUAAAUGUACAGUUUAUACUUACAUUCGAGGAUAACUGAAGUUUAAUUUACAUUUACUUUAUGCAGAGGCAUGCAUGUUUAAAUGUACAAUGCAUCAAGUGUUAAACAUCUGCACAUUACACAUAAACAUGCAUAUACUGUACAUUUACUACAAAUUUAGCAUCACCUCUUCAACCCCAAAUAUGGUGCAAAGGCACUUAAAUGUGCAUCUACAACUUUGACUUCAUCAGGUAUGAUUAUUGUACUGUUAGUUCACUCUGCAUACCCUAAAGUGUAUCACAAAUAUGAUGUCCCUCUUCACAAACUUCACCAUACACAAUAUAACCAAGUAUCUGUGCCUGAUUGUGCAGACGUCUCUUCAAUAAAAAGCUGGAAAAUUGAGAGGGAGGACUGCAUCACAAUUGGAAUACAAAAGAUGAGGACAACCGGAAGUGCUGCUGCUCCCAGUUCAGCCUGAGAGCGGCAGAAGAGAGCUGGAGAUGCCCUCUGUGCAGAUUUCAUGAAAAGAAAGUACUGGCUGUGAGGUUACUAAGGGACAUCUCAGAUAUGUAGUCAUAUAACUGAAAUUCAGGGAUUGAUUCUACUAGCUUCCUCAGGUUUUUCUAAAAAAAACUCAUAUCAGAGAUGACUAUUAGCCUGUAAUUAAGCAGACAUUAAGCCCACUAUGUAAUACAGUUCCUUUGAGUCAAACUUUUUCAUGCAGUGUAAAUAGUAUUUUGUCCUCUCCCUGCAUGUAUGCUGUAUAUACACGUAUAUGUAAAGACUCACACAUACAUACACGUUUUACGCCAGAUGUUUCUGAGUAAAACAUUCAUCCCAUGACGCAUAUCUUUCUCCAUAUUGAGGAUGACAUCAAUACUUUCAAAAAGUCACACACUGGUCUGACAGUGAUUCAUCACAUCAAGGCCUUCUCAAUAAUCAGGAAAGAAAUAAGUGAAAGCAAGAUUAAAAACUCUUUCUUUUUAAUAGCCUCCCACUGUAGUACUGUAUGUUCAAGUAGUUGAUCUAAUAUAUUUAUGUUAUCACUUAAAUAAAAUUGUUGAUACAACUUGGCCCAAUAGCCACUGAUUUGGUAUUUAAUGUU